rnacentral:lncRNA from 1 species
UACUGCUACUUGCUCUUAAUUCACAGCACCAACCCCAUUUGGGAAGCAAUCUUCUUCUUGAUGGAUUGAGACGCAAGCUUGUUUCACACUACUUCCAAAUAAGUGUGUAGAGCCAUAUUUUUUUUAUUUUGCAUUCUGACAUAUUAUACAUUAUCAACCAGUUUUCUUCAAAAGAAAGACCUGAACCAGCAGUGUAAGAGGCUUCACAGGACAAAAGGGAUUUUAAUUUGAAGAAAGAGAGGAAGAGAGAAAAUGACAAAGGGAAGAGAACUAACGGGCGGGAAGGGUGAGAGACAAAAGGAAAAGAUAAGAGAGAAGCACAAAAGGUGGUGGCGUCUCACAGGUCAGAAGAAGCUGCGUGAUGGGAGGUAAAGCAUUCUCUUCCCUGCAUUUUUCUUUGCCACUUACCCUCCUCCCCUCCCCUUUCUCCUGCCUCACCCCCAACUUGCUCAA